GGGCGUAGCAAUACGCCUGCAGGCGACCGGCAAACGGGUGCGGAACACGUACGCAACUUACCCUGAACUGGGGCAUAGCCCGGGGAAACCCGGAUUAAUACCCCGUAACACUGUUGGGUGGCAUCACCUGACAGUUAUAGCUCCGGUGGUUCAGGAUGGGCGUGCGGCUGAUUAGGUAGUUGGUUGGGGUAACGGCCCACCAAGCCGACGAUCAGUAACUGGUGUGAGAGCACGACCAGUCACACGGGCACUGAGACACGGGCCCGACUCCUACGGGAGGCAGCAGUAAGGAAUAUUGGGCAAUGGAGGCAACUCUGACCCAGCCAUGCCGCGUGGAGGAUGAAGGCCCUCUGGGUUGUAAACUUCUUUUACUUGGGACGAAACCACCUUAUUCUUAGGGUGCUGACGGUACCAAGGGAAUAAGCACCGGCUAACUCCGUGCCAGCAGCCGCGGUAAUACGGAGGGUGCAAGCGUUAUCCGGAUUCACUGGGUUUAAAGGGUGCGUAGGCGGGUCGGUAAGUCCGUGGUGAAAUCUCCGAGCUUAACUCGGAAACUGCCAUGGAUACUAUCGGUCUUGAGUACUGUGAAGGUGAGCGGAAUAUGUCAUGUAGCGGUGAAAUGCUUAGAUAUGACAUAGAACACCAAUUGCGAAGGCAGCUCACUGCGCAGUGAUUGACGCUGAGGCACGAAAGCGUGGGGACCAAACAGGAUUAGAUACCCUGGUAGUCCACGCCCUAAACGAUGGAUACUCGACAUACGUGAUAUGACUAUGUGUGUCUGAGCGAAAGCAUUAAGUAUCCCACCUGGGAAGUACGACCGCAAGGUUGAAACUCAAAGGAAUUGA
rnacentral:rRNA from 1 species